AGCUGACGGACAUUGAGUGGCUGCAGCAGUCCGAAAUGCACUUUUUUAUCGCAGUCAGUUGUGUGAGGCACAUAUUCUUCAUUGUUGUAAAUGUUGCUAUGGAUCAAGAGGAGGAUCGGAUUCUAGGAGAGGCUUAUGUCGUGAAUGAUGACCAAGAGUCAUCAUUUCCAUCAGAUGAGUACAGCCAGAUGGAUCGGUGACUCCACAACAACAAUCCCAGCGAGGGUGAAAUACAGGAGUGAAAGCUGCUGAAAGGCAAUGCGAUCACUCCCUUCUGGAAGAGGAAGUGGAGAUAUUUGACUGGGUUGGAGAGCUAGCAGAAAUAUCGACUGAACUGUUCAAUCCUGGGACUCAGAGAGUAAAAGAGGUGUCAAUAACACUGCCACCACAACAGUUUGCUGUGGGAUGUGCACCUAGAGCGGUGGUUUUGGGGACCCCCGAGCGACAUCUACUGUUGUGCUAAGCGCCGCUCGUUGCUGUUCAAGAGGCAAAGCAGCCACAGCUGCUGCAGUGCUGGCACCCGCACCAUCGCAUACCCUCUGGCGUCCAUGGGUGGUUCAGUCAGAGCAACAAUCUCCCAACCCCAGGCUAGCGAUGGUGAAGGCUUCAACAUUCGCUAGCAUCAACAAGCGUGGGUGGUUCCACAGGAACUCACCACCGCCACCUCCUCCUACUCCGACUCCAGCGGCAGCGAAAGGAAUGUGUGCCUUGGCGCACGCCUCUCCCCCCUGAAGACGCCCCCUCACCUGCGCCUUGAUUGAACAGGCGGACACAGUUAUCUCUUAGUUGUAGUGUUAAUGAUAAUGGACUUGGGGCUAGCGGUAGUGCUCUAUCCCGCUCUGAUAUCGAAGGACAUCAGAUUAGCAGCAUCAUCUAGAAAACCCCACCAUUGCUGUGAGGUGAACCCGCGGUCACCCGCGACCGUGAAUAUCACGUUCGCUUUGGUAUCGACGUUUGGCCCGGAAUAUUGAGCGACAGGUUGUAAUGGUUCUUUAUUUACGUGACCAUUACGGCACUUCAACCCCAGUUCUCGAUACCAGUAAUAUCGUACUACUUUUCUGCGAAGUAACAGACAUAUUUUUGUGACAAUAUUCACAUUUGGUUUUGUUAAUGUAUAGGUAC